CCAGCUCCAUAAACUCCAUCAUCUUCAUCUGCCAUUCUUCUACCGUUGCUAAGAUUGAAAUGCCACAAGUUACUCGGUUGUAGAGAGGAAUUAUUGAGAAGCUUGCAACUCCUGGAAAAAUUGACAAGACAAGGCUAUCGGUAAUAUAGCGAAUGAACGGGGCAACCAGAUAGGCUGAAGUGCUGAAGAAGUGUUUGCUGGAAAGUAAAAUGAAUUCACCACUCCUGGCUACUUCGCAAUGGUAAGGAAAUCCAGACCCACAAUCUGAAGUGUACUGAGGAAGACAGAGAGAGAGAAGGCUGAUUGUUCUGCACAUGCUCAGGGGCACCUUUGUCAUUAAUCAGAGAUUGUGAUACAGAAUGAGUAGAGGCUUUGAAAAUGGUUCUCGGGGCCAAGCCUUUCAGCAAAUGUAAAUAACAACAACAACAACAACAACUGUAAUAAUGUAAUAAAUAAAUAAAUAAAUAAAUAAUAAACUUUGGCUGAUUAAUGUUAUAUGACCUUUUGGGAAUUAUAGGGUCAGAACUACUGAAACUGUAUACUGUAGCUUAUUCAUGUAUGCAGCUACAGCAACAAAAAUGUUACUUGCUCAAAAAUGGAAAGAAGUCCCAGCAAAGGAAGAAUGGAUACAAAAACUGAUGG